AGAACUGGUGCAUUCGGUCCUUCAGUAGAACUCUCACUAAUUUAAACAAGUUGUUGCAUUGGGAGCUGGAGGACUCAUUAGGGAGGAAGGACAGGGGUUCCUUUACCUGACUGGGCACGUAAUUACAAUCAUCUGUUGGUUCUCUGCCUCUCAGGGUAAGGCUGACUGGUCAUGGACACCUUCCACUGGAAAGGUGCCCAAAUGCCAGCUCUUACGGGCACACAGGAAACUCAUAGAUCCUUCUGCACCAGAGGAUCUCCUUCCCACUGUGACUGCAGUGGAAGGGAAGCCCCAGCAUCUCCUGUCCUCCACCACAGCCUCUGGAUGUGACAUCCUUCCUUCCUUUGUCCAACGAGCCACUGUUAACUGACCUGGAAGGAGUGAGGGAGCUGUGAUGCGGGUCUGGCUGGGGCCCUUCACGCCGGUGAGGACAGGAUGACGGGUGGACAGCUUCCUGGAGCACAUAUGCCUAUGCUGAGACACCAGCUUCCAGACGCAGCCUGGACUCUCCGGCCCAUGGCGCCUUCCUCUGUCUCCAAAGCCAGCAACGCAGCACCUUCCACUCCUCCCACUCUCUCCCUCCCUCUCCCUCUCUCUGUCUCUCUGCUUCUGUUGUCACAUCAUCUCUCUGUCUAACUCUUAAAAGGUCUCCUGUAAUUACAUCCAGUCCACUCAGAUAAUCUGGGACAAUGCCCUCGUUUCAAAACCUUCAACUCAAUCGUAUCUGUAAAGUCCUUUCACUGUAGAAAGUAACACAGCCACAUGUUCGGGGGACCAGCAUGGGACAUAAAGUCGGGUAACCGUCACACAGCCGACUACAUACAGUAUCUGCCUGGUGCAUAGUAGGUGCCCAGCAAUAUUACCACGAAUGGUAAUAUGAAUAUUCCUGUGCUGUGCCGAGAAAGAGCCAUUGGAGACAUUACAAAUGAGCGUGAGAGACUCAGAGGGAGAAAGCAAGAACCCUCGGGCCAGAAGGGUGUGCCCACACUGGAGAAGGACUGUGGAUGGCAUCAUCAUGGCUUCAGCCUGGCAUGAUGGUCGUGUGCGACAUGCCAGCUUCCCCAGAUCUCCCUUCUGAUUUAUUACUGUUUCCCCCAGCCCCAGCCCAGAGCUCCUGGCUCGGCCUCUUCUGCAAAUCCGCAUUCGAUACGUGUUUGGGAUGAAUAAGUAAAUGAAUUGGUGGAAGGACAAAUGUGCAAACUUAGCAGGCCGGGGGGCAAGGGGGACUGUGGGUUUAGGUGAUGAGGACAGAGCAGCUUCUAGCCAUGAAGGCUCCCUGCGGGAAGGCCCGUGUCUGCUGGGUCAAGGGCAGAGAGCUGGAGGAGCAGGAAGGAACUGCUGCAGGUGGACACAAGAGGUGGCACUUGGGAGUCAAGUGAGUGCUGGCCGGACCGAGGGAGCCGGGGGCGAGCAGAGGCCAUCAGCAGCCCCGCGGGUGAGCGUGCACUGAUACCAGGUACAUUAAGGAUCAUCUGGGCUUCCGAGAGAUGUAAGAACAGAACCACAGUACAAAGAGCACUGGAGUAAGAAGAGCCCCAGGUUGGAUUUUUUGUUUCUCUCAAGUUAAAUGUCUGGUUCUGAACUGAUUCCUGCAUGACUUGGAGCAAAGACUCACACUCUUGAGCCUCAGGUGCCCGAGAGGACUGAGCAGGUGCAGCCCUUCGCCCCACAGCCAGGGUAAGGAGAGACAGAGGCGCUAAGGGGUUGCUGCUGCCGUCUCUGAGUUACCGCUUUAAAUAAAACGAUGUCGAAACACUAAGGAUGUGUCUUCAUGGAGGCUCCGAGAACGUUCUUUGCUCUCUUCCCUUUCAGAAGUUUAAAGUGCUCUACACAUACACAACAACAACAGUGACAAAAACCUGAAGGCUCUCGGUCAGCAGGGCUUGGGACAGGCCGGAAGCUGGGAGGUGAGAAGGCUCAGGGGUCGUCAGGCUUUGCCGGAGAAGGAGAACGCGUAGGGGUGUGUGUGUGUGUGUGUGCGUGGAUUAUGGGAACUGCCUCCCUCAAUCAAGUAGGCAGUAACGUCUCCCGAUCUGCCCUUGGGAGUCAAGGGAGACCCAGGAGAGCUACUGCUGUCAUUCAGUCCAAGUCCACAGGCCUGAGAACCGGCGUCGUGAAUGCCCAGGGGCAGGAGAUGAUGGACGCCCCCGCUCCUGCAGACACCACAGAGAUGGAGGCAGGUGGAAGGAGUCUCCUCUGUAGCAGAUAACGCUCCAUGUGCAGUCACAGUGGGCUUCCUCAUGGGAAGACCGGGAUCAGACUGACUCACCACCCCAUCCUGUUGGUCGGUGGAGAACCACAGGCCUCUCCUUCAUGAGG